AUUCCAUGAUUUGGACACUUUAUCACAAGCUCUUUAAAUUUGUUCCAUACUUCAUGAUAGCUCUCCCCAACUCUCUGUUUGAAGGUUUGAAUUUUCAACCUAAUUUU
rnacentral:snoRNA from 1 species